UACAGCCAUACCACCCUGAACACGCCCGAUCUCGUCUGAUCUCAGAAGCUAAGCAGGGUCGGGCCUGGUUAGUACGUGGAUGGGAUAUACUCUCUGUUAAAUACUUCAUGGUUUCAGCUGUAC
rnacentral:rRNA from 1 species